rnacentral:lncRNA from 1 species
UCAUUUUGAAGCAUUUUUCUCAUAUGGGACACAUGUGGGGGAUAUUUUCUUGAAUCAUCACUGAUACGUUUAUUUGACUUUUAGGUGGUGGCUUGCUUGCUAUGCUUUAAAUGAUUGAAUGUAAAGAAAUCUGGACCUCCUCCCUUAACUCUUAAUGCCUUCCAAAUAUUCAGGGGAAAAGACAAGGAAAUGUACUCUGCAGGUUUAUUGAGAUCCAACGAUUUAUGGAGAAAGACUGCACAAGUUUCAAGAUCUGUAAUAUAAAAACUUCAGAGGAACUCUUCAAUUAGGAAAAAAAAGGAUGUUUUGGUUUUUCUGUUCAGAAAUUGCUUUUCCAUUUGGGACCCAUCUGACCAAUAUAUACAUACAUAGGUGAUGCACACAUGGAAGUAGGCAAGAAUCAGUAGAAGACUACACAGGAAG